rnacentral:rRNA from 1 species
UACAGAGGGGACAAGCGUUGUUCGGAAUUACUGGGCGUAAAGGGCGCGUAGGCGGCCUGUUAAGUCGGACGUGAAAUCCCUCGGCUCAACCGGGGAACUGCGUCCGAUACUGGCGGGCUUGAAUUCGGGAGAGGGAUGUGGAAUUCCAGGUGUAGCGGUGAAAUGCGUAGAUAUCUGGAGGAACACCGGUGGCGAAGGCGGCAUCCUGGACCGACAUUGACGCUGAGGCGCGAAAGCCAGGGGAGCAAACGGG